rnacentral:rRNA from 1 species
GAUGAACGCUGGCGGCAUGCCUAACACAUGCAAGUCGAACGCAGUCGCAAGACUGAGUGGCGAACGGGUGAGUAACGCGUAGGGAGCUGCCUCGAAGUGGGAAAUACCCAGCCGAAAGGUUGGAUAAUGUCCCAUAGUCUCGCAAGAGUAAAGGAGAAAUCCGCUUCGAGAGGCACCUGCGUCCUAUCAGCUUGUUGGUGAGGUAAUGGCUCACCAAGGCGAUGACGGGUAGCUGGUCUGAGAGGACGGCCAGCCACAGUGGAACUGAGACACGGUCCACACACCUACGGGUGGCAGCAGUUGGGAAUUGUUCACAAUGGGCGAAAGCCUGAUGACGCAAUGCCGCGUGGAGGAAGAAGGCCUUCGGGUCGUAAACUUCUUUUCCCAGGGACGAUUAUGACGGUACCUGGGGAAUAAGGACCUGCUAACUACGUGCCAGCAGCCGCGGUAACAC